rnacentral:rRNA from 1 species
UAACACAUGCAAGUCGAGGGGCAGCAUUUUAGUUUGCUUGCAAACUAAAGAUGGCGACCGGCGCACGGGUGAGUAACACGUAUCCAACCUGCCGAUAACUCGGGGAUAGCCUUUCGAAAGAAAGAUUAAUAUCCGAUGGUAUAUUAAAACCGCAUGGUUUUACUAUUAAAGAAUUUCGGUUAUCGAUGGGGAUGCGUUCCAUUAGUUUGUUGGCGGGGUAACGGCCCACCAAGACUACGAUGGAUAGGGGUUCUGAGAGGAAGGUCCCCCACAUUGGAACUGAGACACGGUCCAAACUCCUACGGGAGGCAGCAGUGAGGAAUAUUGGUCAAUGGACGAGAGUCUGAACCAGCCAAGUAGCGUGAAGGAUGACUGCCCUAUGGGUUGUAAACUUCUUUUAUAUGGGAAUAAAGUAUUCCACGUGUGGGAUUUUGUAUGUACCAUAUGAAUAAGGAUCGGCUAACUCCGUGCCAGCAGCCGCGGUAAUACGGAGGAUCCGAGCGUUAUCCGGAUUUAUUGGGUUUAAAGGGAGCGUAGGUGGAUUGUUAAGUCAGUUGUGAAAGUUUGCGGCUCAACCGUAAAAUUGCAGUUGAAACUGGCAGUCUUGAGUACAGUAGAGGUGGGCGGAAUUCGUGGUGUAGCGGUGAAAUGCUUAGAUAUCACGAAGAACUCCGAUUGCGAAGGCAGCUCACUAGA